GACGUUUUCCCCAGGGAAGAAGCCAUGCAUGCCCGCUCACCCGGGAGGCGGCGGACGGCUCAGGACAACGGUUGCACCCCCCGCGGCGGUCCCUGCUAGCCGGACACCGCUGGCAACCCGGGGCCAAG
rnacentral:rRNA from 1 species